GACGAACGCUGGCGGCGUGCUUAACACAUGCAAGUCGAACGGAAAGGCCCGGCUCUUGUGGGGUGCUCGAGUGGCGAACGGGUGAGUAUCACGUGAGUAACCUGCCCUUUACUGUGGGAUACCUUCAGGAAACUGGGGCGAAUACCGGAUAGAAGAUCCUGCUGCAUGGUGGGGGUGGGAGAGUUUCGCCGGUUCGGGAUGGACUCGCGGCUUAUCAGCUUGUUGGUGGGGUAGUGGCUUACCAAGGCAUUGACGGGUAGCCGGCCUGCGAGGGUGACCGGCCACAUUGGGACUGAGAUACGGCCCAGACUCCUACGGGAGGCAGCAGUGGGGAAUAUUGCGCAAUGGGCGGAAGCCUGAUGCAGCAACGCCGCGUGCGGGAUGACGGCUUUCAGGUUGUAACCCGCGUUCGCCUGUGACGAAGCGUGAGUGACGGUAAUGGGUAAAGAAGCACCGGCUAACUACGUG
rnacentral:rRNA from 1 species